UGUUUCUCUUUGACAGGUGCCAACUGAGUAUCCAACACUAAGAGCAGCAAAACACAUUACCUUACACACUGAAGACGUUACUGAUGGAUGGAAGGGGCUCUUUUUUUUCAUGGCAGCAAAAAUGGGCAAGGUCCCGGGGGCAGCGGGCUAAGCAGGGAAUUCCAGAAGUCCCUCUCCCAAGCAACGUUUUCCAGCUCUUCCUGGGGGACCCCGGGGUCUUCCCAGGCCAGACAAGAAAUAUUAUCUCUCCAGCGUGUUCUAGGUCUACCCCAGGGCCUCUUACCAGUUGGACGUGCCCG